GUGCCAGCAGCCGCGGUAAUACGUAGGUGGCAAGCGUUAUCCGGAAUUAUUGGGCGUAAGGCGCGCGUAGGCGGUUUUUUAAGUCUGAUGUGAAAGCCCACGGCUCAACCGUGGAGGGUCAUUGGAAACUGGAAAACUUGAGUGCAGAAGAGGAAAGUGGAAUUCCAUGUGUAGCGGUGAAAUGCGCAGAGAUAUGGAGGAACACCAGUGGCGAAGGCGACUUUCUGGUCUGUAACUGACGCUGAUGUGCGAAAGCGUGGGGAUCAAACAGGAUUAGAUA
rnacentral:rRNA from 1 species